UGGAAGUAAAAAGUCGUAACAAGGUUUCCGUAGGUGAACCUGCGGAAGGAUCAUUCACAAGAUUAUAUUUUAUAUUACUUUGUGGAACAUUUGGUUGAAUUUACAUGUUUUAUUACAAAAAAUUAAUUAUAAUUAAAAAAAUAAUUUUAAGAAAACCUCCAACAACGGAUCUCUUGGUUCCCAGAUCGAUGAAGAGCGCAGCGAAUUGCGAAAUGUGAUGUGUAUUGCAGUGAAUCAUCAAUUCUUGAACGCACAUGGCACCCCUUUUAGGGGUAUGCUUGUAUGAGGGUGUUUAAUAUGAAAUUGCUUUGGCUUUUUUUAAAUAAAUGGUUUUUCAAAUUGUUACUAAUAGACGAAAGAAUCAGUGCAACAAGCUGUGUUGAAUCUUUCAUUAAAUCUUUUAGUUAACUACUUUAACUAUUUGCACCUCAUAUCAAGCAAGACUACCCGCUGAACUUAAGCAUAUCAAUAAGCGGAGGAA
rnacentral:rRNA from 1 species